GCGUUUUUUUUCUUAAUACUUUGUCUUUUCACAGAGAUAUUUCGACACGAUGUCGAAAUAAGGCGCCCCUGAGCCAGGACGGCGAAUGGGCGCCGGUCUCGUACGGUGCAAAUAAUAAAAUCAAAGUAUUUAGAAAAAC
rnacentral:ncRNA from 1 species